UCAAUAAGCGGAGGAAAAGAAACCAACAGGGAUUGCCCCAGUAACGGCGAGUGAAGCGGCAACAGCUCAAAUUUGAAAUCUGGCCCCUCCCACGGGGGGGCCCGAGUUGUAAUUUGCAGAGGAUGCUUCUGGCGAGGUGCCUUCCGAGUUCCCUGGAACGGGACGCCACAGAGGGUGAGAGCCCCGUCUGGUCGGACACCGAGCCUCUGUGAAGCUCCUUCGACGAGUCGAGUAGUUUGGGAAUGCUGCUCUAAAUGGGAGGUAUAUGUCUUCUAAAGCUAAAUACCGGCCAGAGACCGAUAGCGCACAAGUAGAGUGAUCGAAAGAUGAAAAGCACUUUGAAAAGAGGGUUAAACAGUACGUGAAAUUGUUGAAAGGGAAGCGCUCACGACCAGACCUGGUCCCGGCGAAUCACCCGGCGUUCUCGCCGGUGCACUUCGGCGGGCUUCCAGGCCAGCAUCAGUCCGCGCCGGGGGACAAAGGCGGCGGGAACGUGGCUCCCCAGGGAGUGUUAUAGCCCGCCGCGCAAUGCCCCGGGGGCGGACUGAGGACCGCGCGUCUACCGCAAGGAUGCUGGCGUAAUGGUCGUCAGCGACCCGUCUUGAAACACGGACCAAGGAGUCGUCCUCGUAUGCGAGUGUUGGGGCGUCAAACCCCCCGCGCGUAAUGAAAGUGAACGGCAGGUGAGAGCCCUCGCGGGCGCAUCAUCGACCGAUCCUGAUGUUCUCGGAUGGAUUUGAGUAGGAGCAUACGGGGCCGGACCCGAAAGAAGGUGAACUAUGCCUGUGUAGGGUGAAGCCAGAGGAAACUCUGGUGGAGGCUCGCAGCGGUUCUGACGUGCAAAUCGAUCGUCAAACAUGGGCAUGGGGGCGAAAGACUAAUCGAACCUUCUAGUAGCUGGUUUCCGCGAU
rnacentral:rRNA from 1 species